rnacentral:rRNA from 1 species
GACGAACCGUGCAAACGUUAUUCGGAAUCACUGGGCUUAAAGGGCGCGUAGGCGGGUCAGAAAGUCUGCGGUGAAAUCCUCCAGCUUAACUGGAGAAUUGCCGUGGAUACUGCUGAUCUCGAGGAGGGUAGGGGCAUCUGGAACAGCCGGUGGAGCGGUGAAAUGCGUUGAUAUCGGCUGGAACUCCGGUGGCGAAGGCGAGAUGCUGGACCCUUUCUGACGCUGAGGCGCGAAAGCCAGGGGGAGCGAACGGG